CAUCCAAGGAGUUUAAAAAUUCAGUUGGAUAAUUAGUGGCUUCUUCUUCGUUUGUUACACAGUCGAUAGAUUUGAAUGAAUUUAGAGUACCUACCAUUUGAUUUUGAAUUAUAAGAUUGAGGUCAUCUACAUCUUUAUUUUUAGCGUCCAAAAUUGCUCGCUCACUUAACCAUUUAGUAUUUUUGUGGUUAGCAAUGAUAUCCGGGAAUACGUUGUUGAUAAGCUCGUCUUUUGAUGAUACGAAAUUGCAAAAAUUUGGAGGAAAUGAAAUCAAACCGCUCGAUUUGUCAACAGGAACACGGCCAUUACCGAUAGUCAGCAAUUGCUUCGAGAAAUCAUCAGCAG
rnacentral:lncRNA from 1 species